UGAGCGCCAGCGAGAGAGCGUUGCCGCAGGCAACGACCCGAAGGGCGAAGCGCGCAGCGCUGAGUAAUCCUUCCCCCACCACCA
rnacentral:sRNA from 2 species